GUGGGGAAUCUUGCGCAAUGGGCGAAAGCCUGACGCAGCCAUGCCGCGUGAAUGAUGAAGGUCUUAGGAUUGUAAAAUUCUUUCACCGGGGACGAUAAUGACGGUACCCGGAGAAGAAGCUCCGGCUAACUUCGUGCCAGCACCCGCGGUAAUACGAAGGGGGCUAGCGUGGCUCGGAAUUACUGGGCGUAAAGGGCGCGUAGGCGGACAGCUUAGUCAGAGGUGAAAGCCCAGGGCUCAACCUUGGAAUUGCCUUUGAUACUGGCUGUCUUGAGUUUGGGAGAGGUGAGUGGAACUCCGAGUGUAGAGGUGAAAUUCGUAGAUAUUCGGAAGAACACCAGUGGCGAAGGCGACUCACUGGCCCAAUACUGACGCUGAGGCGCGAAAGAGUGGGGAGCAAACAGGAUUAGAUACCCCUGUAGUCC
rnacentral:rRNA from 1 species